rnacentral:rRNA from 1 species
UACAGAGGUCCCAAGCGUUGCUCGGAUUCACUGGGCGUAAAGGGUGCGUAGGCGGCCGGGUAAGUCUGCUGUGAAAUCCCGCAGCUCAACUGCGGAACUGCAUUGGAUACUAUCCGGCUAGAGGAAUGGAGGGGAGACUGGAAUUCUCGGUGUAGCAGUGAAAUGCGUAGAUAUCGAGAGGAACACCAGUGGCGAAGGCGAGUCUCUGGACAUUUCCUGACGCUGAGGCACGAAAGCCAGGGGAGCAAACGGG